GUUGUAGUUUAUAUGUGCUAUACGCGUGUUUGCAACAGUGCAGGCAGGUUUAUGAUGCACCUGCUUUUGCUUUUUCCUUAGGGAACAAUGUUUUUUACCUUCUUUCAAGUAGAACUCUACAGUGACAGAAGCUACACUCCUAACCUCCUGGGAAGCAAAUACAAAAGAGUAACAGAAGUGUCUGCAUCCUGAUUGUGUUCAAUCAAGCUACCCUACUUUCUGAUUUAUGUUAAUAAAGCUUUUGGAGAUUCCUAAGUGGAAUCAUUCUGUGCCUUCUGCAUAGAUCCUAGCUGAAGAAAUGCUUGCUGAGUGCUUUGCCACCUGAAAAUGUGGGGUGGGAAGGGAGAAAUCCUGUCUGGUCAACAAUUAUGUCAGUUUGGCUAAACACAUACAUUGCUGCCAGUGGCGACGCAACUCUCUGCCAGCACAGGCUUCAGCCAUUGCGCCUGCCGGGUGCCGUGACUCACUCCUGGUUCUCUCUGCAUGGAUCUGCUGCUGUGGAGCAUGUGCAGCAUAGGUGCCAUCUCCCCACCCAGCUACCAAGGUCUUCCAGGAAGAAAAAUCAGCAAAGCUAA
rnacentral:lncRNA from 1 species